GACGAACGCUGGCGGCGCGCUUAACACAUGCAAGUCGAACGGAAAGGCCUGCUUUCCCUUGUGGAUUGCGGGUACUCGAGUGGCGAACGGGUGAGUAACACGUGAGUGAUCUGCCCCCAACUUGGGUAUAAGCCUGGGAAACUGGGUCUAAUUCCCGAUAGGACUGCAGGGUGGUGCCUGUGGUGGAAAACGAUUUUCUAGUGGUUGGGGAUGAGCUCGCGGCCUAUCAGCUUGUUGGUGGGGUAAUGGCCUACCAAGGCGGCGACGGGUAGCCGGCCUGGGAGGGUGGACGGCGACAUUGGGACUGAGAUACGGCCCAGACUCCUACGGGAGGCAGCAGUGGGGAAUAUUGCACAAUGGGCGGAAGGCUGAUGCAGCGACGCCGCGUGGGGGAUGACGGCCUUCGGGUUGUAAACUCCUUUCGACCGCGAGGAAGCCACCUGGUUGGAAGGGUGGUGACGGUAGUGGUAGAAGAAGCACCGGCUAACUACGUG
rnacentral:rRNA from 1 species